rnacentral:rRNA from 1 species
UACGCUCUACAACCCUUUGUGAACAUACCUAUAACUGUUGCUUCGGCGGGUAGGGUCUCCGCGACCCUCCCGGCCUCCCGCCUCCGGGCGGGUCGGCGCCCGCCGGAGGAUAACCAAACUCUGAUUUAACGACGUUUCUUCUGAGUGGUACAAGCAAAUAAUCAAAACUUUUAACAACGGAUCUCUUGGUUCUGGCAUCGAUGAAGAACGCAGCGAAAUGCGAUAAGUAAUGUGAAUUGCAGAAUUCAGUGAAUCAUCGAAUCUUUGAACGCACAUUGCGCCCGCCAGCAUUCUGGCGGGCAUGCCUGUUCGAGCGUCAUUUCAACCCUCAAGCUCUGCUUGGUGUUGGGGCCCUACAGCUGAUGUAGGCCCUCAAAGGUAGUGGCGGACCCUCUCGGAGCCUCCUUUGCGUAGUAACUUUACGUCUCGCACUGGGAUCCGGAGGGACUCUUGCCGUAAAACCCCAAUUUUCCAAAGGUUGACCUCG